rnacentral:lncRNA from 1 species
AAAGAAUAUGGAUAAUAAAUUUUUGAGUCAUUGUUCAAUGUAUAAAAAAAUAUAUAUAAAUUAUUUUUUUAUCUAAAUAUUAUUUAAAAAAUAUUUAUUCAAAAAAAUAUAAAUUUUUUAAUAAAUUUUUUACCUACAAAAAAAAAGUCUUAAAAGAAGAUGAAGAUCACCGGGCUUAACCCUCUUCUUUUAUUCCAACAAACAAUGUCUCCAUUCACAAGACUGCUAUUCCCAUGAUGGUAUGACUCUCAGGGCCCGACCAUAAAUUACUGCCUAGGGGUCACGCAAAUGGAUCAAGGCAAGAUGGGUUUGCAGGCUGUCAAGUAAUAGAAGCAAGGAAAAAUAGUUGAAACCACAUAAUUCCAUAACGUGGAUCCUCUCUAACCAUACUGGUUCUAAUGCUUCGACCAUGCCCCGAUAAUACAUCAUGUGUGACCAACUGGAUAUUAUAUUGCAAGUGUUUCAUUAAUAAUAUUUGUUGCUGCUAACCUCUAGGAUGAGAUUGAGGUCGGUUGAGCCAAAUUGAAUUGAAGUUGGUGGAGUGGUCACGGCCCCA